UUAACUAUUAUAUAGUACUCAGACAUCACUAAAAACAAGAGUUGUGGUCCUCUGGCGGGCACGUACUAGCCGAAGCCAGUAGCGCAAGCGCGGCCCGCCAAAGCAACAAAGGUAUGUAUUCAAGGGUGGGAGAUCUACCCGUAAGGGCAAGAACUCUGUAAUGAUCCUUCCGCAGGUUCACCUACGGAAA
rnacentral:misc_RNA from 1 species